rnacentral:rRNA from 1 species
CCUACGGGUGACAGCAGUAGGGAAUAUUGCUCAAUGGGGGAAACCCUGAAGCAGCAACGCCGCGUGGAGGAUGACGGUUUUCGGAUUGUAAACUCCUUUUGUUAGAGAAGAUAAUGACGGUAUCUAACGAAUAAGCACCGGCUAACUCCGUGCCAGCAGCCGCGGUAAUACGGAGGGUGCACGCGUUACUCGGAAUUACUGGGCGUAAAGAGCGCGUAGGCGGGAUUGCAAGUCAGAUGUGAAAUCCUAGGGCUUAACCCUAGAACUGCAUUUGAAACUGUGAUUCUAGAGUAUGGGAGAGGUAGGUGGAAUUCUUGGUGUAGGGGUAAAAUCCGUAGAGAUCAAGAGGAAUACUCAUUGCGAAGGCGACCUGCUAGAACAUAACUGACGCUGAUGCGCGAAAGCGUGGGGAUCAAACAGGAUUAGAUACCCUAGUAGUC